UACGAAGGGGGGCUAGCGUUGCUCGGAAUCACUGGGCGUAAAGGGCGCGUAGGCGGACUUUUAAGUCGGAGGUGAAAGCCCAGGGCUCAACCCUGGAAUUGCCUUCGAUACUGGGAGUCUUGAGUUCGGAAGAGGUUGGUGGAACUGCGAGUGUAGAGGUGAAAUUCGUAGAUAUUCGCAAGAACACCGGUGGCGAAGGCGGCCAACUGGUCCGAUACUGACGCUGAGGCGCGAAAGCGUGGGGAGCAAACAGG
rnacentral:rRNA from 1 species